UCCCAAAUUUUCUUCAUCCAUCCACCUCUAUAUAUGCAUGGCCAAAGAAGCAUCACAUCCAAACCAAGCCAUUGAGCAGGUUAGAAACAAGUUAUCUCUUGUGAUGGUGCUUCUCGAAACCAAGAACGUAGUGCCUUUGUUCAUGGUGACCACGACGAUCAUGGCUUUGGCCAUGUCACCCUGCUUCGGUCAAGGAGGUGGCAAUAUAUCAUGUUUAGUUGUUUGCGAAAAGCUGCCAGGAUGCACGCUUGACAAGUGCAAACAUUCAUGUGUCACGUCGGGGAUUACCAAUUUUACAGCAACUUGUGGUGAUCUUAAGGCGUUUGAAAGCUGCUGUUGCAAGUACAAUUGUAAACGGGUUCCUCCUGUUUGAGGAAGGUUGGAUCCGCAACUUUCUUUGCAUUAUGUAAAAAUAAUGUACAAAGAUAGGAAGUCGGACGGAUCAUCAUGACUGUUGCACUGCAUGUGGUCCGAUCAAUUAAAACAAUGUCAAAAUAAAUCUAAUAUAUUUCUAUCUUGCGCAUUAAUCUAUACCUACUAAUAAAGCAAGGUGCGUUUAUUCGA